ensembl:snRNA U6 U6 spliceosomal RNA
GUACCUGCUUUGGCAGUACUUAUACUAAAAUUAGAACGAUACAGAGAAGAUUAGCAUGGCGAUUGAAGGAUGACACGCAAAAUCGUGAAGCGUUCCUUAAAAAA